AUGUGAUUCAGUGAGGCUGCAAGCCGAGUUUCUGGAAACAGAGCAGUAUCCUGGGAAAAUCAUAAAAGGAACUACUAUACCAGAUGUUUUAGCAAUAUGACCUCAGUGCACUUAAUUCAUCAACACCCUUGAUGACAAAACUGAAAACCAAAGUGGUUCAAUAAUUUUUCCAAGGCCAUUUCAAGAAGCAGUGGUGCUGAAUUUAAACCAAGCUCUGUCUUCAUGUAAAGCCCAUACUCCUCAUCACUAUUUUGUCUUAUACACACACGUAAAUUUAUCAAUUAUAAUAACAUUACUGUGAUCAUGCCUUUGCUCUUGACUUUGCUGUCUGUUAAGCCUACUUAUGCUGUUCCCUCCCACCUAUUUCUGAGUGAACUUGCCUCAUGCCCAUUCCAUCUGGAUGUCUUAUCUCUGAACUGAACUUAGCACUCACAGAUCACAACACACCAUCUCCCUGGUUCCACAUGGCUCCAACUGCAUGUAACAACCAAGAUGGAACAAUAUGCCAAGAAUCAGUGAGAUCACCAGUUAAUAUAAAAUUGUAUUUUAGUUUCCAUUUGGGUCUAAAAUGUCAAAGAAAUUAGAAGAAACAUUCUUCGUGAUCAUUACUGGGGAGAUCAGCAUAAUCAUUUCAAAUUACUUAAAUGAUGGCUACUCUUUAACACAUGAGCACAGUAACUUCUCUAUGUUGAAUUUUUUCUGCAUAUUUUGUUUAGCAAGGCCCAUCUGUCCUUCACAUUCAUCUUCAGUCUGGUUUGGUUUCAUUUUAACAUAUAAACCAGGUCUUCUAUCAGUGG
rnacentral:lncRNA from 1 species